UACAGAGGCCCCAAGCGUUACUGAGAAUCACUGGGUUUAAAGGGUGCGUAGGUGGCGCGUUAAGCCCGUUGUGAAAUCCCUGGGCUCAACCCAGGAAUUGCUUCGGAUACUGGCGUGCUUGAGGCCGGUAGGGGUCACUGGAACUGACGGUGGAGCGGUGAAAUGCGUAGAUAUCGUCAGGAACGCCGAUGGUGAAGACAGGUGACUGGGCCGGAACUGACACUGAGGCACGAAAGCGUGGGGAGCGAACGGG
rnacentral:rRNA from 1 species